GAGAUAGCAAAGGCUAAAAACAGCAAGAUUUUGGUGUGGACGAUAAAAGUGACAAAUACAAACAAGCAAAAUCUCAUUGGUAUAAGCUAAAGCAACCACUACUUUCAGGCUUUACCUAAUUGGAAAUUGUGUUACCCUGAGCCAGAGCCUAAUGAAUGAGCUACCUAUAUCUUGCUUUUUUCUUUCGAUUUCCCCCUAAAUUUUUGGUUCCCUGAAAGUAGACCUGACCAGCCCGUAUACAGGGUCGGGCCGAGACAUAAAAUUAGCCCGUAUGCCGGAUCGGGGUCAUUGGUGAACCAUUUUAUGUUGUUGGGAACUCACUUGGAGGAUAUGUUGCAACCGGUUUUCAGCAUGUAAUUCUGAGUUGGUUAAGGGUGUUACCCUACUCAAUGCAACACCUUUUUGGGUUUUUCUUCCGAAUCCCACAAAAUCUCCUUUACUAUCUAGGAUGUUUCCUCCGGCUGGAACUUUUCCUCUACCUGCUAAUGUAACUAAGAUUAUGGACAUUGUUUGGGAGAAAAUGAGUGAUCCAGAAACCAUAGCGGAGUUGCUCAGGCAAGUUUACGCGGACCAUUCAACAGAUGUUGAUAAAGUCUUUUCUCAUAUAGUUGAGACAACAGAACAUCCUGCUGAGAAAAAAUGGUCAGGGUGCCAGUUAGUUGCUGCUUACUGCAGAACAGCAGGAGCUUUCAUACUUCAUUAAUUUGUAUCAUAUUUCAGGUUUUUUUUUUCCUGUGGUUGAAUUACACACUUGAUAACUCUUCUUAAGAUUGUUUAGGUUGUUUAUGGGAAUAACUAAAUUCUUCGUUUGGCUUGCAUUUUGAUUUUCCAUACCUUUUACUUUCAUGUGAUGAGGGUGAAGGCCGAAGGUGCACAAACAAUUGUGACAAGGAGAAACCAAGGAGUCCCAUGUACGGAGUGAAACGACACGAGGGUGAAUAUAUAAGUGUUGCAACUUUGUUAAUGUCUUGUGAGGAGAUCGUUGUUAUUUUUGGUUCGAUACUGAAUGAAUGUCAAUUGCUCACUAUCAAAAGGUACGGUGAAAGAUAGAAAAAUGAAUGGAUCUACCUCUAUAUGAAUUUCAAGAAUAGACAUUGGUUUGUGUUAAAAGGAUCUAUUUAUAGAGUAAUGUUGAUACAAUUUAUUUUAUAUAUUGAAGGUGUAACUCUCGAAUUUGUCUAUAUAUUCUUUUAAUUUGUAUAUAACCAAA